rnacentral:misc_RNA from 1 species
GAUGAAGAACGCAGCGAAAUGCGAUACAUAAUGUGAAUUGCAGAAUUCAGUGAAUCAUCGAGUCUUUGAACGCACAUUGCGCCCCCUGGUAUUCCGGGGGGCAUGCCUGUCCGAGCGUCAUUGCUGCCCUCAAGCCCGGCUUGUGUGUUGGGUCUCGUCCCCCUUCCCGGGGGGACGGGCCCGAAAGGCAGCGGCGGCACCGCGUCCGGUCCUCGAGCGUAUGGGGCUUUGUCACCCGCUCUGUAGGCCCGGCCGGCGCUUGCCGAUCAACCAAAACUUUUUUCCAGGUUGACCUCGGAUCAGGUAGGGAUACCCGCUGAACUUAAGCAUAUCAAUAAGCGGAGGA